CACACCGCCCGUCACACCAUGGGAGUUGGCUGCACCAGAAGCCGGUAGCCUAACCGCAAGGGGAGCGCCGUCCACGGUGUGGUCAAUGACUGGGGUG
rnacentral:rRNA from 1 species